rnacentral:tRNA from 1 species
GCCGCCGUAGCUCAGCCUGGGAGAGCGCCCGUGGACACUCAUACCCAGGGAAUUUACUACUCCCUGGGUAUGAGUGUUCCGGCGAAGCUGAAGACCGGGAUGUCCGGGGUUCAAAUCCCCGCGGCGGCACCA